CAUAGAGAAGACACCAGUGAUAGUGAGCACCACGUCAACUACAGUAGGUCUUCGAUGGAAUGCAUGGUCUGAAGAAGAUGACAUUGGUGAUCCUCCUCUGGUAGGAUAUGAUGUCUUUGUAAAGAAGGAAAGUGACUGGGUAACGGAUCAGAGAGUAGACCAAGUCACAACAUUAGCUAUCGUUAGUAACCUGACACCCGACACAGAUUACAGGUUUCGUGUAGCAGCAGUGAGGGAAGGAACCGGCGGAACAGGACCGUGUCUCCUUGGAACAACACAAUAACUCGCUGUAGAAAACCCAGUGCGUCUCCAACUAGACUACAAGUUUCAGCCAUCAACCCUAAAGAGCUAGAGGUGACAUGGGAGCAUCCCCCCUCAGAAUCAGCAGAAUGCAGGAGUGGAGUGACCCAUUAUAUGAUCUACUAUGCUGCCAUUGGAUCAACGUCUUCAAACUCUAUCUUAGUUGGUAUCUCGUGACGAUAGCUCCUGUGUGAUAAGAGGGUUAGAAACCUAUCUGGACUAUACCAUCCAAAUAACUGCAUCAAAUAAAGACGAGGAAAGUGAUAGGAGCAGUGAGAUUAUCGGCAAAACAAUUGAAGAAGUUGCACCUAGUCCUAUCAAUGUGGCUAUACCGCGGAGUACUACAAGCUCCUUCACUGUAUCCUGGUCUACCCCUCUACCAUCUAACAUCAAUGGUAACAUCCAGAAGUAUAUCAUCCGCUUCAAGCAAACUGAUCCAGUUGUUGAUGGUGACUAUAAGAUGGAGGAAGUAUUGAAUGGUGCGUUUAAAGGAGAGCAUACUGUUAUAGACCUGACAGCAAAGUCCAACUACUCAGUUCAGGUACAGACUGUUAAUGGAGCUGGUUCUAGCAAUUGGUCAGAACCUGUGAAUGCUAAGGCGAUACCAUCAGUACCAAACAAAGACGUUUAAACGCUGAGCCGGCCGCGUCACCACCAAAUACUGCACAAGAGGCCUCUUCGAAGUAUGGGAACUCUGCAUAUGAUGACACAGACACCCAUACAUACCAAAAUCCUAAUACUGACACACCUAAUUACCACACCUACGAAGAAAUUAUAUAGAAGCAACCCAAGCGUGGCAAAGGUGUAUGUUGCCAAUAUUGAUGCUUGCUGGCAGGCGCGUACGCAGGAAUUUUUUUUUUAUGUGUGUAUUUUGGA